rnacentral:rRNA from 1 species
AUUCCAGCUCCAAUAGCGUAUAUUAAAGUUGUUGCGGUUAAAAAGCUCGUAGUUGGAGUUCUGCCAGGUGACGCUCGUCCGCCCAAGUGGUGUGUACAGGGCGUGCAUCUGGCCCUUUCAAGGGGAACGUGUCUGCUCUUUAUUGAGUGGUGCGAGAUCCUUGACUUUUACUUUGAGGAAAUCAGAGUGUUCCAAGCAGGCUCUCGUCGUGUAUAGCUCAGCAUGGAAUAAUAGCAUUGGACUUCGUUUCUAAGCUGUUGGUUGCAAGAAGCGAGGUAAUGAUGAAGAGAGAUAGUUGGGGGUGCUAGUAUUGAGCGGCCAGAGGUGAAAUUCUUGGAUUCGCUCAAGACUAACUUAUGCGAAAGCAUUCACCAAGGAUGUCUUCAUUA